rnacentral:rRNA from 1 species
GGAAUUUUGGACAAUGGGCGCAAGCCUGAUCCAGCAAUGCCGCGUGAGUGAAGAAGGCCUUCGGGUUGUAAAGCUCUUUUGUCAGGGAAGAAAAGGGAUUGGCUAAUAUCUGAUCCUCAUGACGGUACCUGAAGAAUAAGCACCGGCUAACUACGUGCCAGCAGCCGCGGUAAUACGUAGGGUGCAAGCGUUAAUCGGAAUUACUGGGCGUAAAGCGUGCGCAGGCGGUUUUGUAAGACUGUCGUGAAAUCCCCGGGCUCAACCUGGGAAUGGCGAUGGUGACUGCAAGGCUAGAGUUUGGCAGAGGGGGGUAGAAUUCCACGUGUAGCAGUGAAAUGCGUAGAUAUGUGGAGGAACACCGAUGGCGAAGGCAGCCCCCUGGGUCAAAACUGACGCUCAUGCACGAAAGCGUGGGGAGCAAACAGGAUUAGAUACCCGUG